rnacentral:rRNA from 1 species
UGCAGCGACGCCGCGUGAGUGAAGAAGUAUCUCGGUAUGUAAAGCUCUAUCAGCAGGGAAGAAAAUGACGGUACCUGACUAAGAAGCCCCGGCUAACUACGUGCCAGCAGCCGCGGUAAUACGUAGGGGGCAAGCGUUAUCCGGAUUUACUGGGUGUAAAGGGAGCGUAGACGGCGACGCAAGUCUGGAGUGAAAGCCCGGGGCCCAACCCCGGGACUGCUUUGGAAACUGUGUUGCUGGAGUGCAGGAGAGGUAAGUGGAAUUCCUAGUGUAGCGGUGAAAUGCGUAGAUAUUAGGAGGAACACCAGUGGCGAAGGCGGCUUACUGGACUGUAACUGACGUUGAGGCUCGAAAGCGUGGGGAGCAAACAGGAUUAGAUACCCUGGUAGUCCACGCCGUAAACGAAGAGUGCUAGGUGUCGGGGGGCAAAGCCCUUCG